UACAGGAUGGAUGACACAGACAGGAGGAAUAACAUUCAGGUGGGAUGACACUAGUACAGGUGGAAUAACAUACAGGUGGGAUGACACUAAUACAGGAG